rnacentral:lncRNA from 1 species
UCAUUGGGAGGUAAUUGUCACAGAGGGCGGAACCCUCAUGAAUGAGAUUAGAGACACAGGAGACAUAAUCUUUCUUUCUCUUUCCAUCUUGUACGGAUAUGACAAGAAAAUGGCUAUGUGACCCAGGAGGAUAGCCUUCACGAAGAACCUCACCAUGCUGGUACCUUGAUCUUGGAUUUCCAGCCUCCAGACUGUGAGAAAUUUUUUUUUCAAAUGUUGUUUAAGCCAAUCCAUCUAUAGUAUUCUGUUAUAGCAGUCCAAACUAAGACACCCUAGCAAGAGUCCCCUUUUCUAAUCUCAGUAAAAGUAUUAUUUUAGUUUUCCAAUUGGAGUUGUUCGUAUAGCAACAAAUUCAGUCACUGACUCACAACAAGGAGGUUGAGUCUGAUUGCCUACCAGAUGUGAAUCACAACAUAGCAGAGGCUGAACAACUUGUUACAGAUUUUUCUGCAACUUCAGGAGCUCAGUAUCCAUAGAAGAUAUAAUGAAAAGCACUUUAGGUCAGGUGUCAGCUAAGCAAAUAUCACUGCACCACUUUACAAACGUCCCUGAGAACAUCCAAAAUGAGGCUUACCUGCAUCAACAUCCCUGCUUCCUUUCAUAUGUCUCUAGGACAUACUGCAUUUUACAUAUUUUUUAAUGUUAUCUUCAUGCCUCUUUUCAAAAUGGAAAAUAAUAGCAAUUUUGCUUUUAUGCUAAAAUUCUUGUAAAAACCUGGAUAGUAUUCAUCUAUUUUUAUAGAAGAAAGCCAAUAUUUUAAAGUAUUUAUAUAAAACCCAAACUGUGUACACAGUCUGUUUUUAUCAUCAGUGCUGAUAUUCAACAGUCUUAUUUCCCAAACUGUAAAAUUAUACGUGCAUCAUGCACGAUAGAACUGCUGUACCCCAAAGCAAGCCAUAAAAUCUAGGAAGACUAUCUGACCCUCUCUUCUCCUCCCUGAAGACCCUUACAUGACAAGUGUCAUGCCCUAUGCCCAGAGGAAGAAAUGCUACACAGAGAGGCCAAGAAAAAUCUGAACACACAGGACUUGUUGGAAUUCCCCUCAAGUUAUUAUCAUUACAUCAUGCCUUUUUUGUCCAGUCAUAUUUCUACACAGCUGUCCAUUCUUCAUCGAACCUAAGCUUAAGAAUAUGCACUUCUCCCUGGGUCUCUGGGUCUUCAUUUCUGAGCGCUCCCAUGUGAUGUAAAAUUUUGAUUAAAUAAAUUUUUUCUUGAUAACCUGUCUUUUGUUAUGGAAGUUUCAGCCAUGACCCUUGUGAUAGGCGAGGAAAAGUUAUUACACUUUUACCCCUACAAAGGAAAAGAGCAAUCCAGUCAGAUGAUGACAUAGUCAAAGGCAGAAAUGGAUGGGUUUUACCACUCAAUGUUGC